GACGAACGCUGGCGGCGUGCUUAACACAUGCAAGUCGAACGAUGAACCCGGAGCUUGCUCUGGGGGAUUAGUGGCGAACGGGUGAGUAACACGUGAGUAACCUGCCCUGGACUCUGGGAUAAGCGUUGGAAACGACGUCUAAUACCGGAUAGGACCUUGGAUCGCAUGAUCUGGGGUGGAAAGUUUUUUCGGUCUGGGAUGGACUCGCGGCCUAUCAGCUUGUUGGUGAGGUAAUGGCUCACCAAGGCGUCGACGGGUAGCCGGCCUGAGAGGGUGACCGGCCACGCUGGGACUGAGACACGGCGCAGGCUGCUACGGGAGGCAGCAGUGGGGAAUAUGGCACAAUGGGCGAAAGCCUGAUGCAGCAACGCCGCGUGCGGGAGGACGGCCGUCGGGUUGUAGACCGCUUUUAGUAGGGAAGAAGGGCUUCGGCUUGACGGUACCUGCAGAAAAAGGACCGGCUAACUACGUG
rnacentral:rRNA from 1 species